CCUACGGGUGGCUGCAGUGAGGAAUAUUGGUCAAUGGGCGCGAGCCUGAACCAGCCAAGUCGCGUGAGGGAGGACGGCCCUACGGGUUGUAAACCUCUUUUGCCGGGGAGCAACGGGCGUCACGUGUGGCGCCACUGAGAGUACCCGGAGAAAAAGCAUCGGCUAACUCCGUGCCAGCAGCCGCGGUAAUACGGAGGAUGCGAGCGUUAUCCGGAUUUAUUGGGUUAAAGGGGUGCGUAGGCGGAUCGUUAAGUCAGGGGUCAAAUUGAGGGGCCCAACCCCUUCCCGCCUUUGAAACUGGCGUUUUUGGGUGGAAGAGAAGUAUGCGGAAUGGGGGGUGUAGCGGUGAAAUGCAUAGAUAUCACGCAGAACCCCGAUUGCGAAGGCAGCAUGCCGGCUUCCGACUGACGCUGAAGAACGAAAGCGUGGGGAUCGAACAGGAUUAGAUACCCGAGUAGU
rnacentral:rRNA from 1 species